GACGUUACCUACAGAAGAAGCACCGGCUAACUCCGUGCCAGCAGCCGCGGUAAUACGGAGGGUGCGAGCGUUAAUCGGAAUUACUGGGCGUAAAAGCGCAUGCAGGCGGCCUGUUAAGUCAGAUGUGAAAAGCCCGGGCUUAAACCUCGGAAAUUGCAUUUGAAAAACUGGCAGGCUAGAGUCUUGUAGAGGGGGUAGAAUUUCAGGUGUAGCGGUGAAAAUGCGUAGAGAUCUGAAGGAAUACCAGUGGCGAAGGCGGCCCCUGGACAAAGACUGACGCUCAGAUGCGAAAGCGUGGGGAGCAAACAGGAUUAGAUACCCUGGUAG
rnacentral:rRNA from 1 species